UAGGGAAUCUUCCACAAUGGACGCAAGUCUGAUGGAGCAACGCCGCGUGAGUGAAGAAGGGUUUCGGCUCGUAAAGCUCUGUUGUUAAAGAAGAAUGUGGGUAAGAGUAACUGUUUACCCAGUGACGGUAUUUAACCAGAAAGCCACGGCUAACUACGUGUCAG
rnacentral:rRNA from 1 species